rnacentral:rRNA from 1 species
GAUGAACGCUGGCGGCGUGCCUAAUACAUGCAAGUCGAGCGAACGGACGAGAAGCUUGCUUCUCUGAUGUUAUCGGCGGACGGGUGAGUAACACGUGGAUAACCUACCUAUAAGACUGGGAUAACUUCGGGAAACCGGAUCUACUACCGGAUAAUAUUUUGAACCGCAUGGUUCAAAAGUUAAAGACGGUCUUGCUGUCUCUUAUAGAUGGAUCCGCGCUGCAUUAGCUAGUUGGUAAGGUAACGGCUUACCAAGGCAACGAUGCAUAGCCGACCUGAGAGGGUGAUCGGCCACACGGGAACUGAGACACGGUCCAGACUCCUACGGGAGGCAGCAGUAGGGAAUAUUCCGCAAUGGGCGAAAGCCUGACGGAGCAACGCCGCGUGAGUGAUGAAGGUCUUCGGAUCGUAAAACUCUGUUAUUAGGGAAGAAAAUAUGUGUAAGUAACUGUGCACAUCUUGACGGUACCUAAUCAGAAAGCCACGGCUAACUACGUG